rnacentral:rRNA from 1 species
GACGAACGCUGGCGGCGUGGAUUAGGCAUGCAAGUCGAACGGUAGGAUACCUUCGGGUAUCUGAGAGUGGCGAACGGGUGAGUAACACGUAGGUGAUCUACCCUCAAGAUUGGGACAACCCAGGGAAACUUGGGCUAAUACCGGAUGAAAGCAGCAGUGAUGUUGUUUGAAAGGUGGCGUAAGCUGCCGUUUGGGGAUGAGCCUGCGCUCUAUUAGUUAGUUGGCGGGGUAAAGGCCCACCAAGGCGAUGAUAGAUAGGCGGCCUUAACGGGUGGUCGCCCACACUGGGAUUGAGAUACGGCCCAGACUCCUACGGGAGGCAGCAGUCGAGAAUAGUCUACAAUGGCCGAAAGGCUGAUAGUGCGACGCCGCGUGAACGAGAAGCCUCGGGUGUAAGUCUUUAUAUGUGAGCAGUGCUUCUAUGUGAACAGCAUGGGGAGAGAGAUAUUAGCAUAUGAAUAAGCAACGGCUAACUCCGUGCCAGC